CCAUCACCUCCGGGGACUGGGACGUGACCAAGAUCCUAGCCUACGACGAGAAGGGGAAUAAGAUCUACUUCCUGAGCACGGAGGACCUGCCUCGGAGACGACAACUCUACAGUGCCAACACGGUGGGCAACUUCAACAGGCAGUGCCUCUCCUGCGACCUGGUUGACAACUGCACCUACUUCAGCGCUUCCUUCAGCCAUAGCAUGGACUUCUUCCUGCUCAAGUGCGAAGGUCCUGGUGUUCCUAUGGUGACGGUGCACAACACAACAGAUAAGAAAACCUGUGAGGCAGGAACUGCUAUUAUCCCCACUUGUCAGCUAAGGAAGCUGAGGCAUCGCAGCUUAGGUGAUUGGGCCACAUGCAUGCAGCGAGGAAGCAAAAGCAGAGGAGUUGCAUCUCGGACGCAAGCAGUGCGGCUCCAACAGAGCCUGUUCUUCCAGACAUGUGGUCAUUGCAUGGCACUGCUCAGCCGCCUGCCCUCAUGCGGUCUGAAGGACAACUGCAAAUCUAGAGCGAUGCCCGGCCUGCACUCCCAUUGAGAUGAGUCUGGGGAGG
rnacentral:sRNA from 1 species